rnacentral:lncRNA from 1 species
CUCUUUUUAAUAUACAUAUGUAUGUGCUUCAUAUCCACCAAUGAUUAAACAUAUGUGCUUUGCCUUUCAGGAAAUCAAACACAUGAUAUGCAGAACUGGCUGAAUCAAGGAAACAACUACACUGACUUUAGGCAUCAACUUUGAUGUGUAAAUAUGAGGGGGUUUGGCACUUUGGAAAGAAGAGCUGUUCCUUUCUGUUUUGGUAAUCAAUGGCUUUGUUGCCCUUCAUCAGAACAAGAAGUCUUUGCUAAUUUUCAGUGAAAUAAUGAAGCAACAAUAAGAAGAAUCUUGACUGCAGCAGGUGCCCUGCCUUUGAAAGCCCUUUUCCUUCCUUUCUGGGGACUGUAAUGCACUUAUGAGUUCAGCUGUUUAUAAUGAGGGGAUUUCAAUCUGGUUUCAGCUAAUUCUAGCAGGUCACCAGAAUCAAGCUUCAACUUCUGUAAGAAAGUCUUUCAACAGCUUUUGUAAUGAAGUUUUUGUUGAGGAAGGACAAAGAUUGCCCCGAACUUUUGCAAUGUCUCUGAAGAUGCUGUGUGUGACUGGAGGGAGGAAGAGAGAAAGAGUUUUUCCCACCUUGGAAAGGACUCCAGUGUACCUGAGGGCAGAGGUUGCUGAUAGCAGGAUACAGAUCCCCUCAAUUCUUGGGUAAUUCUGAAAUCUGUGUGGCUUUGCAUGCUCAGUU